rnacentral:rRNA from 1 species
AUGCAAGUCGAGCGAACAGAUAAGGAGCUUGCUCCUUUGACGUUAGCGGCGGACGGGUGAGUAACACGUGGAUAACCUACCUAUAAGACUGGGAUAACUUCGGGAAACCGGAGCUAAUACCGGAUAACAUAUUGAACCGCAUGGUUCAAUAGUGAAAGGCGGCUUUGCUGUCACUUAUAGAUGGAUCCGCGCCGUAUUAGCUAGUUGGUAAGGUAACGGCUUACCAAGGCAACGAUACGUAGCCGACCUGAGAGGGUGAUCGGCCACACUGGAACUGAGACACGGUCCAGACUCCUACGGGAGGCAGCAGUAGGGAAUCUUCCGCAAUGGGCGAAAGCCUGACGGAGCAACGCCGCGUGAGUGAUGAAGGUCUUCGGAUCGUAAAACUCUGUUAUCAGGGAAGAACAAAUGUGUAAGUAACUGUGCACAUCUUGACGGUACCUAAUCAGAA